UCCUCUCUCACCAGCUGCCUCCCAGCCUCCCCAACCCCCUCCAUCCGGCCGGUAGUAGCAGAAGACGCCCGUGGCCUGACCUCGACCCUCUCGCUCCCACCCGCCUGGCCUGCGGUCCUUCCCUCCCUGGGGCCUGUGGGCGCACAGCUGGCCUCGCCGCACUCCCCCGGCACGCCCGGAGCCCGGCCCGGAGCGCACAGCUGAGGGCGGCCGAGUCAGGACGCUUCUCCUACGUUCCACCUCUGCACCGACCGGGUGGGGAGCAGGGCCUUGACUGCAGGAGUAAGGGCGGAGGCGCAGCGCAUCCGUGUGGUUCUCCACCCCAAGCCCUUGGGGGAACCUACGGCGCGCGCUCGCGGGUCGCCCGGGACCGGAGCGAAUCAACUUGGAAAACCAAAAAGCAGCUUCUGAGGCACGGGAGCCCCAUCUUCUGGAAUUUUCCCCACACUCUUUCUCUACUGGAGUGAUGGGUUCCUUCCCCGGACAGUAUUCGUUCUGUCCCCUUGUCACCCGUCAUGUCAUCUUUGGCUGGAACGGGCUCAGACAAAGAAUGCUGAAGGAAUGGAUGAAUGAUGAAGCAAUGAGCCAGGUAGCAGUGGUUGGAGAAUUCUGUUUCGCUCCAUUUGACUUACCUCCAUGGAGGCAGCGCUUUGGGGAAUGGGGAAUUACGGUCCCCUUUUAAAAAGAUCUGAAUAGUUCAAAAUCACAGGGAAACCAGUUCAUAGUCCUCUUUUCAUUCAAAGAUGCUGUAUUCCAGUCAUCUUACACCCAGGAUACAGGUCAGAGAAAGGUCAGUUAAACCUUCUAGUCCAUUCCUUGGCCUCCAGGUAGAAAUGAAAAGUGGGAUGCUGCCCAAACUGUCAGAGACGUGGGGACCGCUUCCCGGAGGAGGUUGAGGCGAAGGGUCCAGAUGCCUGAUGGCUGAUUAAGGCUGCGCCUCCCCCUGCCGUGCCUGUGGGCUUCCUGGCGCCCUCCUGCCACAGCCUCUCCUUCUAGGACCUCACAGCGCCCCCGCUUGACUUCCCGUGGGACCCGGGAUCCAAGCCUGGGUUCAGGGGUUGCCCCAGUCCUGAGGCUUGCUCAAGUCAUCAUUGGAGACGAUGAAUGGAAAAAGACGUUUGUAAACUGUCGGGUGCCGAGGCCCCGGCGGGUGGU
rnacentral:lncRNA from 1 species